ACUUUCAGCAAUGGAUGUCUUGGCUCCACAACGAUGAAGAACGCAGCGAAAUGCGAUACGUAAUGCGAAUUGCAGAGUCCAGCGAGUCAUCAAAUGUUCGAACGCACCUGGCGCUUCCGGGAUAUUCCUGGGAGCAUGCUUGUUAGAGUGUCUGUUGA
rnacentral:rRNA from 1 species